rfam:Shinella sp. HZN7 plasmid pShin-08, complete sequence.
AGUCAAGAGUCCUUGGCUUCAUUUUGGGCGAGCGGAUUUCUUUUGCCUUUUGCAAGGUGAAGGAAAAUG